AAGAGACAGCAGUAGCCGCGGUAAUACAGAGGGUGCGAGCGUUAAUCGGAUUUACUGGGCGUAAAGCGUGCGUAGGCGGCUUCUUAAGUCGGAUGUGAAAUCCCUGAGCUUAACUUAGGAAUUGCAUUCGAUACUGGGAAGCUAGAGUAUGGGAGAGGAUGGUAGAAUUCCAGGUGUAGCGGUGAAAUGCGUAGAGAUCUGGAGGAAUACCGAUGGCGAAGGCAGCCAUCUGGCCUAAUACUGACGCUGAGGUACGAAAGCAUGGGGAGCAAACAGGAUUAGAUACCCCCGUAGUCCCUGUCUCUUAUAC
rnacentral:rRNA from 1 species